UACGAAGGGGGCAAGCGUUGUUCGGAAUUACUGGGCGUAAAGGGCGCGUAGGCGGCCGAUCAAGUCAGGCGUGAAAUUCCCGGGCUCAACCUGGGGGCUGCGCUUGAUACUGAUUGGCUUGAAUGCGGGAGAGGAUAGUGGAAUUCCCAGUGUAGAGGUGAAAUUCGUAGAUAUUGGGAAGAACACCGGCGGCGAAGGCGGCCCUCUGGAUCGUUGCUGACGCUGAGACGCGAAAGCGUGGGGAGCAAACAGG
rnacentral:rRNA from 1 species